AUUGAACGCUGGCGGCAGGCCUAACACAUGCAAGUCGAACGAGUGGCGGACGGGUGAGUAAUGUCUGGGAAACUGCCCGAUGGAGGGGGAUAACUACUGGAAAAGGUAGCUAAUACCGCAUACCAUCGGAUGUGCCCAGAUGGGAUUAGCUAGUAGGUGGGGUAACGGCUCACCAAGGCGAAGAUCCCUAGCUGGUCUGAGAGGAUGACCGGCCACACUGGGACUGAGACACGGCCCAGACUCCUACGGGAGGCAGCAGUGGGGAAUAUUGGACAAUGGGCGAAAGCCUGAUGCAGCAAUGCCGCGUGUAUGAAGAAGGUCUUCGGGUUGUAAAGUACUUUCAGCGGGGAGGCGGUACUCGCAGAAGAAGCAACGGCUAACUCCGUGCCAGCAGCCGCGGUAAUAC
rnacentral:rRNA from 1 species